GGUUACUGCUAUCGGAGUUCGAUUAAGCCAUGCGAGUCUAAAGGUUUCUUCGGAAACCUUGGCGGACUGCUCAGUAACACGUGGAUAACCUACCCUUGGGACUGGAAUAACCCCGGGAAACUGGGGAUAAUACCGGAUAGAUCAGGGAUGCUGGAAUGCACCUUGAUCCAAAGCUCCGGCGCCCAAGGAUGGGUCUGCGGCCUAUCAGGUAGUAGUGGGUGUAACGUACCUACUAGCCAACGACGGGUACGGGUUGUGAGAGCAAGAGCCCGGAGAUGGAUUCUGAGACACGAAUCCAGGCCCUACGGGGUGCAGCAGGCGCGAAACCUUUACAAUGUGCGAAAGCAUGAUAAGGGAACUCCGAGUGCCAGCAUCUAAUGUUGGCUGUCCUUGUGCCUAAAACGCACAAGAUAGCAAGGGCCGGGUAAGACCGGUGCCAGCCGCCGCGGUAACACCGGCGGCCCGAGUGGUAGCCGCUAUUAUUGGGUCUAAAGGGUCCGUAGCCGGUUCGAUAAGUCCUCUGGGAAAUCUGGUUGCUUAACAAUCAGACUGCCAAGGGAUACUGUCGAACUUGAGACCGGGAGAGGUAAGAGGUACUUCAGGGGUAGGAGUGAAAUCUUGUAAUCCCUGGGGGACCAUCCGUGGCGAAGGCGUCUUACCAGAACGGGUCUGACGGUGAGGGACGAAAGCUGGGGGCGCAAACCGGAUUAGAUACCCGGGUAGUCCCAGCCGUAAACGAUGCUCGCUAUGUGUCAGGUACGGUGUGACCGUAUCUGGUGCCGUAGGGAAGCCGUGAAGCGAGCCACCUGGGAAGUACGGCCGCAAGGCUGAAAC
rnacentral:rRNA from 1 species